CCUCCCGGUCCACCCAGACCCGGGCGAGGCCGGGCGCCGGUCGUUCCGGCCCCUCUGAGCGGGUGACGCCGGCUGCCGGGAGACGCUAGGGGAGAGGAGGGGCCGUGCGGCUCCGUCGCCGCGACGCGCGCGGUUCCGCGUCCUUCCGCUCUGCGGCGGGGACGCGGGGUACGUGGUGGAAGGCGGAGGUCGCGUUCGGCCCUGGGCCUGCCCUGGGCUCGUGACAAGGGGUUUGAAAAUGAUGGAGCCGCUGGGACGGCGGGCGUGGGGGAGGGGUUGGAGGGUGACGGUAUUUCUGCGCUGGGGGACGGGGCUUUGACAGUGAAAAUAAUGGAAGUGUAAAUCUGAAACCCUAAAUCAGGGAAUAUGAGGGGAACCUUGGUGUACCCCUGCGGUGGAAUACUGCGUGGUCUUAAUUAAAAGGAAAGAAAAGAAAGCCUGUCUUCUGCCAAGUAAAAAUAAGGCACAGGACUCAGUCUAUAAAUACAUACUUAUGCUAUAUAUAUGUAAUAAGUGAUAUAUAUAAUAUACAUAUUUGUAUAUAAGCUGUAUUGUUAUGCAAAUAAAGAUAAUUUUUUUUUACUAUUGUGUAGAAAAAUGACAGGAAUACACUUAAAUACCCUUAUGUACAUAGUCUGAAAGGACACAACUGGGACCAAGGGUCAGAGGGAAUAUAGUUGGGGGGAGAUAUACUUUUCACUGAAUUUUUCGAUUUCAGUUUGGAUUUUUCAGUGCUCAUGAAUUACCUAUUGAAAAAUGCACUCAAAAGAACACAGUGACUUCUUCAUUCAUUCAACUAACACCAACCCUUGAUGCGCUCUGGGAGCCCUGUGAUCCUUGUGAAAUGGUUUACUUGAAGAGUCAAAAUGGAAUGAUCGAAAAUUCACAUCCUUAAUCAAAGUGUGUGCAGGUGAGUGAAGAAAGUUUCUUUCCUAUGUUGUUGUUCAGUUGCUCAGUCGUAUCUGACUCUUUUCGAGCACACCCAGCUUCCCUGUCCUUCACCAUCUCCCGGAGCUUGCUCAAACUUUGUAUGUAGGUUAGUUUUUUAAAUCAGUGGACUUAACAUUAAUGAUAGAAUGGGAUCUAUGUAGGUGCGUGAAUGAGAGAAACAAUGAAUAUUAGAAUAAUAAUAAGCUCAUUUUAUAAAAUCAUGGAUUAAAAAUAUUACAUAAACUAUUUUGAAUUAAUACGAAAUUUAAAAGCAAAUUAAAAACCAAAAUUGUGUUCUUAAAUUACCCACUUUUCUAAGUCCUUAACAGUGGCCUGGGGAAAGGCCCUAUAUUGGAUUCCAAGAGGUCUAAAUUAUAGUCUUUCUUGCCACCAACAAGCUGACCCUGAGAAUUUUUGUCAUAUACUCAAUAGAAAUAAUAAUUCCAGUUGCUAAUAGAAUUGCUGGGAGGUAGAUGUGAGGGAACUCUGAAAAGUACAUUAUUCCUGGUAGAAAGUCUACAUACCAAAUCUCAGUUGAAUGAUUUUCUGCAAAUGUAUCUAAGUACAUUAGAAGACUGACCCUUACAGAACCAUAUUAACGUCAGCAAUAUUUUACUCUCUGCAUUGCUGGGUUUUGUCAGCAGAGACUAGACCAUGCAGUUACUUCAAACCCUUCCCUCCACUUAUCCUUGCUAUGUUCUAUGUCCUGUGUUUAUUGGUAGGGAUCCUUAUUUUGGAAAAGUCAGGAUCAUUAUAAGAAUGAGGAACCAUGAGGCGAAUACCUCAUGUAGAGUGAAGAGAGAACCAAUUACCACUCCCAUGAGUACUUCAAUUUAUUUUAAUCAUUACCCAUAAAGGUCUUUAAAUUUUGAUAAAGGGAAAACCAUUUCUCUCCAUUUCUGAGGACAUGAUAAGCUAGCUAUGUCCCAAUGGGAGGUGUGGACACAGAAAACCUUCUGUCACUGAUAUCUUUUGUUAGAGAUGGGUGCCAGGAACUAUGAGAUCACAUUUCAACCUUCUUCCACCUCCCCUUCCUCCUGUAUCAGAAAGAUCCCCUGGAGAAAGGAAUGACAACCCACUCCAGUAUUUUGCCUGGAGAAUUCCAUGGACUGAGGAGCCUGGCAUGCUGCAGUCCUUGGGGUCUCAAAGAGUCUGGACAUGACUGAGUGACUAACACUAUCCUCCUGCAUACUCUUUAUCUCUGCAUCUAGCGAUCUCAUUAUCAGAAUUUUCAACACGUGGAGUGAGAGAGGAAAACGAUAUCAAAGAAUCACAUUUUCACUUCUAAAAUGGA